rnacentral:rRNA from 1 species
CCUACGGGUGGCAGCAGUGGGGAAUAUUGCACAAUGGGCGCAAGCCUGAUGCAGCCAUGCCGCGUGUGUGAAGAAGGCCUUCGGGUUGUAAAGCACUUUCAGCGGGGAGGAAGGCGUUAAGGUUAAUAACCUUGGCGAUUGACGUUACCCGCAGAAGAAGCACCGGCUAACUCCGUGCCAGCAGCCGCGGUAAUACGGAGGGUGCAAGCGUUAAUCGGAAUUACUGGGCGUAAAGCGCACGCAGGCGGUCUGUCAAGCCGGAUGUGAAAUCCCCGGGCUCAACCUGGGAACUGCAUUCGAAACUGGCAGGCUAGAGUCUUGUAGAGGGGGGUAGAAUUCCAGGUGUAGCGGUGAAAUGCGUAGAGAUCUGGAGGAAUACCGGUGGCGAAGGCGGCCCCCUGGACAAAGACUGACGCUCAGGUGCGAAAGCGUGGGGAGCAAACAGGAUUAGAUACCCUUGUAGUC